rnacentral:rRNA from 1 species
UACAGAGGUGGCAAGCGUUGUUCGGAAUUACUGGGCGUAAAGGGCGCGUAGGCGGCUUGGUCAGUCCCGUGUGAAAUCCCUCGGCUCAACCGAGGAACUGCACGGGAAACUGCCUGGCUUGAGUUCGGGAGAGGGAAGCGGAAUUCCGGGUGUAGCGGUGAAAUGCGUAGAUAUCCGGAGGAACACCGGUGGCGAAGGCGGCUUCCUGGACCGACACUGACGCUGAGGCGCGAAAGCUAGGGGAGCAAACGGG